CCUACGGGUGGCAGCAGUGAGGAAUAUUGGUCAAUGGGCGAGAGCCUGAACCAGCCAAGUCGCGUGAGGGAAGAAGGUACAGCGUAUCGUAAACCUCUUUUGUCAGGGAACAAAGGCGGGGACUAGUCCCCGGAUGAGGGUACCUGAAGAAAAAGCAUCGGCUAACUCCGUGCCAGCAGCCGCGGUAAUACGGAGGAUGCGAGCGUUAUCCGGAUUUAUUGGGUUUAAAGGGUGCGCAGGCGGCCUGUUAAGUCAGCGGGAAAAGCCCGGGGCUCAACCCCGGCGAGCCGUUGAAACUGGCGGGCUGGAGUUGGAGAGAAGUACGCGGAAUGCGCGGUGUAGCGGUGAAAUGCUUAGAUAUCGCGCAGAACCCCGAUUGCGAAGGCAGCGUACCGGCUCCACACUGACGCUGAGGCACGAAAGCGUGGGUAUCGAACAGGAUUAGAUACCCCAGUAGUC
rnacentral:rRNA from 1 species